GGACACAGGCAAACUGCUCAGUAACACGCCUUAUAAUCUGCCCUUACGUCAGGGACAACCUCAGGAAACCGAGGCUAAAACCUGAUACGGAAUUUCUACUGGAAGGUGUUUUUCUUUAAACUCGUGCGUAAGGAUGAGUCGGCGGUCGAUUAGGUUGUUGGUGAGGUAAUGGCUCACCAAGCCCACGAUCGGUACGGGCCCUGAGAGGGGUAGCCCGGAGAGGGACACUGAGAUACUGGUCCCAGCCCUACGGGGUGCAGCAGGCGCGAAACCUUUACAAUGCACGCAAGUGUGAUAAGGGAAUCCAAAGUGCUACACUUUUAGUAUGGCUUUUGCCAAGAGUAAAUAUCUUGGCGAAUAAGUGGUGGGAAAGACUUGUGCCAGCCGCUGCGGUAACACCAGCGCCACAAGUGGCAACCGCUUUUAUUGGGCCUAAAGCGUCCGUAGCCGGUUCUAUAAAUUUCCUGUGAAAUCGUUGUACUCAAUAUAACGACGUGCAGGAAAGACUGUAGAGCUAGGGACCGGGAGGCGUCAGAGGUAUUCUUGAGGGAGCGGUAAAAUGCUAUAAUCUCAAGAGGACCCCCUGUGGCGAAGGCGUCUGACGAGAACGGAUCCCAACGGUGAGGGACGAAAGCCAGGGGAGCGAACCGGGUCUAAUACCCAAGUAGUCCUGGCUGUAAACUCUGCGAGCUAGGUGUUGCAUUAUUCUUCGGGAAUAUGCAGUGUCGAAGCGAAGGUGUUCAACUCGCCGCCUGGGAAGUAUGGCGCAAGAAUGAAACCAAAUGAAUUGA
rnacentral:rRNA from 1 species